GAUGAACGCUAGCGGCAGGCCUAACACAUGCAAGUCGAGGGGCAGCGGGGGUAGCUUGCUACCUGCCGGCGACCGGCGCACGGGUGCGCAACGCGUAUGGAACCUGCCCUCUACAGGGGAAUAGCCCAGAGAAAUUUGGAUUAAUGCCCCAUGGUACCGGACUCCCACCUGGGAUACCGGUCAAAGCCUUCGGGCGGUAGGGGAUGGCCAUGCGUACCAUUAGCUCGUUGGUGGGGUAACGGCCCACCAAGGCCGCGAUGGUUAGGGGCCCUGAGAGGGGGAUCCCCCACACUGGUACUGAGACACGGACCAG
rnacentral:rRNA from 1 species